UACGUAGGGUGCAAGCGUUAAUCGGAAUUACUGGGCGUAAAGCGUGCGCAGGCGGCUUUGCAAGACAGAUGUGAAAUCCCCGGGCUCAACCUGGGAACUGCAUUUGUGACUGCAUGGCUAGAGUACGGUAGAGGGGGAUGGAAUUCCGCGUGUAGCAGUGAAAUGCGUAGAUAUGCGGAGGAACACCGAUGGCGAAGGCAAUCCCCUGGACCUGUACUGACGCUCAUGCACGAAAGCGUGGGGAGCAAACAGGAUUAGAAACCCCCGUAGUCC
rnacentral:rRNA from 1 species